GAUGAACGCUGGCGGCGUGCUUAACACAUGCAAGUCGAACGAUGAACCUCACUUGUGGGGGGAUUAGUGGCGAACGGGUGAGUAACACGUGAGUAACCUGCCCUUGACUCUGGGAUAAGCCUGGGAAACCGGGUCUAAUACUGGAUACGACCUUCUGGCGCAUGCCAUGUUGGUGGAAAGCUUUUGUGGUUUUGGAUGGACUCGCGGCCUAUCAGCUUGUUGGUGGGGUAAUGGCCUACCAAGGCGACGACGGGUAGCCGGCCUGAGAGGGUGACGGGCCACACUGGGACUGAGACACGGCCCAGACUCCUACGGGAGGCAGCAGGGGGGAAUAUUGCACAAUGGGCGCAAGCCUGAUGCAGCGACGCCGCGUGAGGGAUGAAGGCCGUCGGGUUGUAAACCUCUGUCAGUAGGGAAGAAGCCGGCUUUUGGGUUGGUGACGGUACCUGCAGAAGAAGCGCCGGCUAACUACGUG
rnacentral:rRNA from 1 species